UCACAUUGACUACGUAAGCAAAUAACAGAUGUUCUGGCAUGUGGUCUUCAUAGUACUCUGCUACUUUGUGCAGCUGUACAGGAAAUAAUUUAUUUCAUUAGCAACUAACAUUUUGCGUCAUCUGUUUAAGUGAAACAGUAACUAGAUGCUGUCAUGAGACAGUAAUACCCACACGUAAGUGUUUGCCUUUAAAUAUACUCUCUGUUCAAAUGGCAAAUCCAGAGGGGAAUCCGGGGAUUGGCACCCCCUCCCUUUCUGUGGGACAUCUUUGUAGUUUUAAAAAAAAUAUAUAUGAUACUGUUAAUAUUUGUAGGCAAUUAUUUUUAAUGUACAAGUUAAAUAAAAGAUUAACUAGCACUGGAUGAUACACAUAUAUUUAUUUUUAUCAAUUCAUUUUUAUUUUUUUGGAUUUCUGGAACCUAUAAUGUUUAACUAGCAAAGAAGCCACAGUGUGAUUUGGCUACGUCAUUGCAUCCUCAGUUCCAAAAGGGGAUGGAGAAGCUGACUCAGUAAUUUGACAACUACGCCUAACGCUAUUAAACAAAGUACUGAUCCGAAACAGUGACAUGCUAGAGAGUUGGUUGGCGGGGAUUUCUACUUUCACUUUUGAGGAUGCAGUAAAUGGACGACAGGAGGGGAAGCUGCGCAUUUCCUCGUUGGAUGAUUUGUGUACAUGUGUGGACGUGGAUGUCAUUUCAGUGAGUUCACUUGGAUUUAAGAGGCUGAGCAAAGGCACAAAGAAAAAGUUUCCUGAGUAUAGAGUCUGAACAAAGGAUAUUGCAUCAUUCCUGAUCAGGCAAGUCUAGCUUAUUCAUUUAUUUUAUUUUAUUUAUCAUUUUGUCCCCUUUCUUUUUUUGAAUAAUUUUUUAUUCAUAUAUUGGUUUACAAUAUUACAGAAGGUGAAAUGUACAUGUGUAACUCUUUCUGUGGUAUGUGUAUUUGUUUUAAUUUGGGGGGGUGGGGGUAUUAUCAGUUUGUGUAGAGUGUCAAUUUUGUGUAUUGCUUAAAAAUCAGUACCAGUGCCCUAAUGUUGAACAUUGGGCAGAUAUGUAAAUUGGCACUUGGUUGGUUCAUGCAGUCCUCCUUGACAUUGACAGAGCUUUCCCACGGAGACUGUUUCUCCAAGUUAUGCGUAGUGUCGGUCAUCAAUCUGUGUAUCGCAAGUACUUGGUGCAGACAGCUAUCAUUCUGAAUCCCGUGAAGGAAGGGGAUAUAGACUUCCUUUGGAAUGAUAUACAUACUCAAUGUUGCGUCGCUUGUGGAGACCCACAUCUUGAAGAGUGACCUUGACUUUUGACCUUGACCCCAUUUUUUAAGUCAACCACUUAAGACCUUGUGGAGGAGAAAGUGAUCUUGACCUUUGACCUUGACCUACUUUCAAGGUCAUUCAAGGUCAACAAUCCUAGAAUAUCAUGUGACUACUCCUAAAGAUGUAGAUGGAGCUGUAUGAUAGAAAAUGUCAUUUUUCGGCCCCUAUUUGCCCCCUGGGACCAAUAUGAAAAUUCCAAAACCUUAUUGCACAUCUACAGGACAUUACUAUUUAGCUCCUUGAAUAUCAUGUGACUAUUCCAAAAGAUGUAGAUGGAGUUUAAGUGACAAGCUUUGUGAUAGAAAACGUCAUUUUUCGGCCCCUAUUUGCCCCCUGGGGCCAAUAUGAAAAUUCCAAAACCUUAUUGCACAUCUACAGGACACCAGCAAUCAUCUUCCAAAAGAUUAUUAGGCUACUGUGUAAAAUGUAAGAGGAGUUCUGGGAACCAGGGUUUUCUUGUACAAAAAGCAUUUUUCGACCCCCAUUUGGCCCCCAGGGUGAAAAUGAAAAUUCCGAAACCUUAUUACAGGACCCAACCAAUCAUCUUCCAAAAGAUGAUUGGGCUACUGCAUGAUAUGUAGGAGCAGUUCUGGGAACCAGGUUUUUGUUGAAAAAACGUCAUUUUUUUUACCCCCGUUUUGCCCCAGGGUAAAAUUGAAUAUUCUAAAACCUUAUCAUAUAUCUACAGUACACCACCUAUAUAUUCCAAAAGAUCAAUUGGUUACCACUUGAAAUAAAAGAGCAGUUUGAGGAAGAAGAAAGUGACAGACGGACGGACGGAUGGACCAGGGGUGCACACUGCAAUCAAAUGGAGUGUUUGGAACAUUGCAGUGGCAAAAAAUUUCCAUCUGUGAACAGAAUGAUGACUGUAUAGAAACACAGACAAGGGUGUAUGCCAGGGUAACAAACAACUCAAUUAUGAAAUUUCUUUCCACAACUGUAUCCACCAUAUCCAUUGAAAGAUCUCAUGAUUUUUAUACAAACCAUAAUUUCAGUGUAUGUUAAUUCAUAAAGUGUUACUAGUUUUUUUGUUUUUUGUUUUUUUUAUCUUUGAAUACCAUUUUCAUGUAGAAAUCUUGUAGCCUGUUCCACAUCCUCUGGAUCUCUGAACAGGGUGCCUGACCUUUCCAUCAUCUUAUUCAUUGUCUUCAACCUGAAAUUCAUAAUCAUGACUUCCCAGGUUAUCUGUAUCCAUAUGUGCAUAUUUACAACUGGAGCGCAUUCAUGAGGAAAUGGCUAUCAUUACAAUUUGCAGAAUAAUCAAAGGCAUAAACAUUGCAAAUCACCUUAAAGAACUAUAUUCUACUUGACCCCUGACCUGUAUGCUGACUAACCACUGCCAUAUUGUCUGGAUGCCUUGUUCUCCAUCUGUCAACUUCCACAUAACCAAGUAGAGGGACCUUGGAGACAGGAAAUACUGUUAUCUGGUGGUGCCCAGUUUUUUAUUGGUGGAAGAGAGAACCCAGUUACAAUGUACCUGGGAAGAGACCACCAACCUUCCAAAAGUAAACUGGGAAACUUUCUCACUUACCAGCGCGAGCGGGAUUCGAACCCGCACCGACAGAGGAUGGAGAGCAGGAAUCCCAGUAUGUCUUUGGUGCGUUUGUGAGAUCCGUGCAUUAUGUCAUGGAUGGGUCCCUCCAGAUUACACCUCUCCAGCUCCAACGUAAACAGACUCUUCAGCUUACCGAUGUUUGGAGGCAGCUACAAAAUAGAAAUUAAAUGUCCGAAUGUUCUUCUAUUGAACCAUGUUCAGUUAUAGAGUCAUGUACAAUUAAAAUGUCAAGUUGCCAAACUGUGUACGAUCAGAAUGUCCAUUUACGAAACCUUUAUAGGAAAAUCCAUGAAAAACUUAUCUAGUGUUUGAAGAUGUCUUAAUGACGGAUUCUUGUCAUAAUUCAAACCAAUUAGAAGAUAUGCACCAUAUGUAUAUUCACAUAAGAAACAUGCAAGUCAUGGUGUCACUUUCCUUUUUUUUGCUUACAGUUGUAACAACACGACAAUAUGGACUGUGAAUGAUAGAGGUCUACAUUUUGUAUGGAAUCAUUGAAGUAGUAAAAUAUUUCACUUUACUCCUUAAUCUAAAAAUUUUAAAUGUAUUGAUUUUUACCUCCAGGAGAACAAAAUUACAGCAAAAAUCAUCUGUAUGACUAUGUGAAUAACGGUAUGGCUAACAUAACAGAGAGUAGACAAUUUACAAAAUACAGUGGAGCCUCUGUAAUCCGGACGCUUCAUCUUCUGGAUGAUUUUUCUGGAGAAUGGAAUUUUCACACGUUAUUUUGCACCAUUAAUCCAGGAAUUCACAUUCCGGAUCUGAAUGGUCAUUUUUUAAUACAAAACGUUGAAAUGCAUUGAAAAUUGUAAUUUAAUUGUUAAUCUGGGCAGUAAUUUUUAGGGAGAAGGUCUGUCUCAGACAAUUUUAGCAAGGCUAAAAACAUAAGCCCCAAUGUCUAAUUAAAGCAAUUACCUGUACCCUGUCAAUGCCUAGCUCGAUCGCUUAAAUUGGGUCAGGUGGUAUGUGAUGAUGUGUCAGUUAAAUAGCACGUGCCAACCGAGACAGCAUAUUGAAAAUUUUUGCACACUGAAUCUAUAUUGCAUGUAGCAUUGAAUUUUGUAAAUAAAUCUGUAUCAUUUUAGUCUUGAUCAAUAGCUUAAUAGUAUUAAUAAAUCAAAUAUCAAUAAAAUAUGCCGUAAUUAUGUUCCCCAAACAAAGUUUGGGAACAUAUUGUUUUUACUCUGUUUCUUAUUAUUAUUAUUAUUAUUCUUUUUCUCCGGUACUUUUUUGUCCGGUAGUGUUCUCAGAAACUACAAAAGGGAUCGAUAUGAAACUUUCCAGGAUGAUAGUAUAGCGUUUGUAGAUGUGCAUAGUGAUAGUCAUUUUAUCUGCACGUGCAUUGCAAUUUUGGUACAAAAAGUGGAAAAUCAGAAUAUUAAAGGAAGCGAUAUAAAACCUAUAUAGGAUGAUAGUAUAUCAUUUGUACAUAUGAAAAAUAAUAGUUAUUUUGUCAGCACGCGCACGCAUGCGCGUGCACGCGCAUUACAAAAUUUGUACACUAACUUUGGAAUCAGUCUAACUUUUUUGUUGUUCAUUGAAAUGGCUUGAAAUUCUUAUCAUAGGUAAAUAUUGAGACCCUUAACUGAUUUGCAUGGUCAAAAUUACCAAUUUGCACGCGCAUGCACGUGCGCUUCAUUUUGAUUGGAUAAUACUAAAACGUUUGUAACUAUCUUAUUUAUGAAGCGAAUGAGAUGAUAUUCACAGCAUACGUAGACAAUAUGAGUAUCUAUAUAUUGGUGUAAAAAAUGCCAACGCACACGCGCAUACAACGUUUUUCAAAUGUUCAAUUUUUAAAGGACGAUAAUGUUUUUGUUUUUCAUCAAAUUCUAUUGAUAUUAAUGGUUUAGAUGUGUCUUGGUACUCCUUACAAAUUGCUGAGGUUAGAAUUACUGCUCAGCACGUGCAUGCACGUGUGCUGAAUUCUGAUUGGACGAUUUUAAAAUCGCUAUAACUUCCUUAUAUUUGAUGGAAACGUUAUGAAAUUCACACUGUGGGUAUAUGAUACGCAUGCCUGUUGAACGACAUCAACAAAAAUUCGGAAUCAUACACGCGUGCGCGUGUAUGCGCGUGCAACGCUUUCUUUCAUUUUUUGGUACUGAAAUGACCAUAUUGAACGUACUACAUGUAAUUAAAGACUAAAAUAAAAUGAUUUUUUGCUAGAGAUUCACAAGAACAUCAUUUUUUAAUUGGGGGAGGUUUGGGGAACAUAUGUAACGGUCCCCGUUACAAUUAGAACUAGUUUAAUAUGUUUUUUAUUAGAUGUAGUAUUAUGAGAUGUACUUAUUCGUAAAUUGAUAUCAACUUAUUCAAAUCAAAGGAGUGUAUAUUAUACAUAUGUACUAGAUUCUGGACUUUAUACUGUUGAUUGAAGUGAAAUAUGUGUGUAUGUACAUGUAGUAAGUUUUUAAUGUAUCAAAUGCCACGCAUGUAGAAUGUACCUGAUUACAAUUGAUUCUUGAUACGAUGUUGUAGAGCUUUAUUGUUUUGGGUUUUUUAAACUCUGGGUAGAAGUCAUCAUCACUAGACUCGGUUACUGAGUCUAGCAGUACCUAUCCUACCGGCCUGGCUAGCCUCAGUUACUGAGUCUGGUAGUACCUAUCCUACCGGCGUGGCUAGCCUCGGUUACUGAGUCUAGUAGUACCUAUCCUACCGGCCUGGCUAGCCUCGGUUAUUGAGUCUGGUAGUACCUAUCCUACCGACCAGGCUAGCCUCGGUUACCGAGUCUGGUAGUACUUAUCCUACCUAUCCUACCGGCCUGGCUAGCCUCGGUUACUGAGUCUGGUAGUACCUAUCCUACCGGCGUGGCUAGCCUCGGUUAUUGAGUCUGGUAGUACCUAUCCUACCGGCCUGGCUAGCCUAGGUUACUGAGUCUGGUAAUACCUAUCCUACCGGCCUGGCUAGCCUCAGUUACUGAGUCUGGUAGUACCUAUCCUACCGGCCUGGCUAGCCUCGGUUACUGAGUCUGGUAGUACCUAUCCUACAGGCCUGGCUAGCCUCGGUUACUGAGUCUGGUAGUACCUAUCCUACCGGCCUGGCUAGCCUCGGUUACUGAGUCUGGUAGUACCUAUCCUACCGGCCUGGCUUGACUCGGUUACUGAGUCUGGUAGUACCUAUCCUACUGGCGUACAACAAUAGGUAAAGUGAGAAAAUUACCAUAUUAUGAAAAUAAUAACUAAAUCCUUUAUGUACUCGAAUGUUGGUUUCAAACGAGUUUUGCUCCGUUAUUAUUGCAUAAAAAUAAUAAGUGUGCAUGAAGCAGUAGUAGUUCGUAAUGUUACGAGCUCAGGAAAUUCUUAGAUCAACAGUGGACCAUGGCGACUGUUUUGUCAGACUGCCAAACCUGUGAUUGCCGACAGAUGAAAAUGACCGACUUCCUUAAGAAGUAAAAGUGUGAUAAAAUGUGUGAAGUGUAAAUAAUUAUGUUUAGUUACUAUUAAUUGAUUUAUUUUUCAGUUACAUAUAGUGCUUAACAUUUGUUUUUAGUGCAUGCAAUAGUUUUGUAUAUUUAUUUGUAGUGCUAAUAUACAUGUACAAUGUAAGCAUAUGCAAAUACACUGCACACGUAUAUUUCACAUUUUAGAGCUUUGAAAUGCAUGUAAAUGUUAACAUUAUUAUGAUUCAUGUACUAAAGCAAAUGGUUAAAUCAUAAAAUGUGUUUAAUUCACUACACAUCAAUAAAGUAAGCAUAUUAGUUAGGUAUGUGGAGAUCUAAAAUAUGCGAUUCAGUUAUCCGAAUGUUUCAUUUAUCAGGACGAUUUUGCUGGGAACCAAAGUGUCCGGAUUAAUAAGGCUCAGCUGUAUUUUCAAACUGUUACUCCUCUUGAUACCAUUUUAAAUGCUCUACACUUAAAAGGAAAAUAUUGAGAAAAUGUUUUUCUUUCCUGUAAGAUCCAACAUCCCCUCUUUAUUUUAUGUCAUUAUGUAAUUUAAUAUAUCACUGUUAAUAAAUGAAAAGUCCUUAAAAUCUAAGUCUACAACAAUGACAGAAAUAACAAUGUGAUAAGUUCUAAAAUCAUCAAAGGAAAUUUGGUCUACCUUAUAACUUUUGUUUGUAAAUAGAAACAUUUAUGUGCAUAGCGUUCAGGAUAAAAUUUGUACUAAUAAAACACUGGCAUAAUA